rnacentral:rRNA from 1 species
UACAGAGGUCUCAAGCGUUGUUCGGAUUCAUUGGGCGUAAAGGGUGCGUAGGCGGCGCGGUAAGUCGGGUGUGAAAUCUCGGAGCUUAACUCCGAAACUGCAUUCGAUACUGCCGUGCUUGAGGACUGGAGAGGAGACUGGAAUUUACGGUGUAGCGGUGAAAUGCGUAGAUAUCGUAAGGAAGACCAGUGGCGAAGGCGGGUCUCUGGACAGUUC